rnacentral:rRNA from 1 species
UGCCUCAGUAACGGCGAGUGAAGCGGCAAGAGCUCAAAUUUGAAAGCUGGCUCCUUCGGAGUCCGCAUUGUAAUUUGCAGAGGAUGCUUUGGGUGCGGCCCCCGUCUAAGUGCCCUGGAACGGGCCGUCAGAGAGGGUGAGAAUCCCGUCUUGGGCGGGGUGUCCGUGCCCGUGUAAAGCUCCUUCGACGAGUCGAGUUGUUUGGGAAUGCAGCUCUAAAUGGGUGGUAAAUUUCAUCUAAAGCUAAAUACUGGCCGGAGACCGAUAGCGCACAAGUAGAGUGAUCGAAAGAUGAAAAGCACUUUGAAAAGAGAGUUAAACAAGCACGUGAAAUUGUUGAAAGGGAAGCGCUUGCGACCAGACUCGCCCGCGGGGUUCAGCCGGCAUUCGUGCCGGUGUACUU